CACAUGCAAGUCUCAGCACACCAGUGAAAAUGCCCACAGCACCCCAAACAGACCACCGGAGCGGGUAUCAGGCCCAAUCGAUAUUAGCCCGAGACACCUUGCUUUGCCACACCCCCACGGGCACUCAGCAGUGAUUAACCUUAACCAUAAGCGAAAGCUUGACUUAGCUAUGAUUAAUAAGGUCGGUAAAUUUCGUGCCAGCCACCGCGGUUACACGAAAGACUUAAUAUAAUGGCAGUCGGCGUAAAGCGUGACUAUAGUAAUUAUCACAAAACUUUAAAGAUAAGCCACUACAAAGCCGUAAAACGCUACUAUAAGUGACAAGUACUUCAACGUCUUU
rnacentral:rRNA from 1 species